GAUGAACGCUGGCGGCGUGCUUAACACAUGCAAGUCGAACGAUGAAGCCCAGCUUGCUGGGUGGAUUAGUGGCGAACGGGUGAGUAACACGUGAGUAACCUGCCCUUAACUCUGGGAUAAGCCUGGGAAACUGGGUCUAAUACCGGAUAGGAGCGCCUACCGCAUGGUCGGUGUUGGAAAGAUUUAUCGGUUUUGGAUGGACUCGCGGCCUAUCAGCUUGUUGGUGAGGUAAUGGCUCACCAAGGCGACGACGGGUAGCCGGCCUGAGAGGGUGACCGGCCACACUGGGACUGAGACACGGCCCAGACUCCUACGGGAGGCAGCAGUGGGGAAUAUUGCACAAUGGGCGCAAGCCUGAUGCAGCGACGCCGCGUGAGGGAUGACGGCCUUCGGGUUGUAAACCUCUUUCAGUAGGGAAGAAGCGAAAGGGACGGUACCCGCAGAAGAAGCACCGGCUAACUACGUGCCAGCAGCCGCCGUAA
rnacentral:rRNA from 1 species